AUUGAACGCUGGCGGCAGGCCUAACACAUGCAAGUCGAGCGGAUGAAGGGAGCUUGCUCCUGGACUCAGCGGCGGACGGGUGAGUAAUGCCUAUGAAUUUGCCUGGUAGUGGGGGAUAACGUCCGGAAACGGGCGCUAAUACCGCAUCCGUCCUGUGGGAGCAAGUGGGGGAUCUUCGGAUCUCACGCUAUCAGAUGAGCCUAGGUCGGAUUAGCUAGUUGGUGGGGUAAAGGCCUACCAAGGCGACGAUCCGUAACUGGUCUGAGAGGAUGAUCAGUCACACUGGAAGUGAGACACGGUCGAGACUCCUACGGGAGGCAGCAGUGGGGAAUAUUGGACGAUGGGGCAAAGCCUGAUCCAGGCAUGCCGGGUAUGUGAAGAAGGUCUAAGGAUUGGAAAGUGAUUUAAGUUGGGAGGAUGGGAAGUAAGUUAAUACCUUGCUGUUUUGACGGUACCGGCAGAAUAAGCACCGGCUAACUUCGUG
rnacentral:rRNA from 1 species